AUUGAACGCUGGCGGCAGGCUUAACACAUGCAAGUCGAACGAUGAUUUCCCAGCUUGCUGGGAAUGAUUAGUGGCGGACGGGUGAGUAACAUUUAGGAAUCUGCCUAGUAGUGGGGGAUAGCUCGGGGAAACUCGAAUUAAUACCGCAUACGACCUACGGGUGAAAGGGGGCGCAAGCUCUUGCUAUUAGAUGAGCCUAAAUCAGAUUAGCUAGUUGGUGGGGUAAAGGCCCACCAAGGCGACGAUCUGU
rnacentral:rRNA from 1 species